UGUGUAUGUGUAUGUGUAUGUGUAUGUGUAUGUGUAUGUGUACGUGUAUAUACACAUAUAUACACAUACACACA